GAUUGGUCGAAAGACCUUAUCAGAUUCUACCACCUCUGUGAACCGUUGACCUCCGGGUUAAUAAUCAAACAUCAGUGUAACGAACGUAAGAGUAUCUUAAUUAAACAAAACUUUUAACAACGGAUCUCUUGGCUCUCGCAUCGAUGAAGAACGCAGCGAAAUGCGAUAAGUAAUGUGAAUUGCAGAAUUCAGUGAAUCAUCGAAUCUUUGAACGCACCUUGCGCCUUUUGGUAUUCCGAAAGGCAUGCCUGUUUCAGUGUCAUGAAAUCUCAAUCUAAUAUGUUUUCUGAACAUGUUAGGCUUGGACUUGGGUGUCUGCCAGCAAUGGCUCACCUCAAAUGACUUAGUGGAACAUCCCACAUCAGUGUUAGACGUAAUAAGUUUCGUCUCUCCUUGUGGUGAUGACUGCUCAAAACCUGCCAUCGCGCACCUUUU
rnacentral:misc_RNA from 1 species